GCCACCUCCUGGUGGUAAGUCUCGCUCCUGGAGUUCCCAUCUUGACCCUACAGCGGGACAUUUUGCCGCCACCUCUUUGUGUGUUGGGAAGAUGACGUCCUUUCUGCUCGUCCUGCUUCUCUGAUUGAUCUGUGUCUCUGGAGAUCCCUUUGCUCAGCCAUCAGAUCAAGCAGGCAUCCAUGGUUCAGAAUGCAGGUGAUGACCUGGGCAAGAGCUCACCAGUAAGGAGCAAAGGGGCCCGCCUGCCACUCUUAAGCAGAGCGCCUGCUGAAUCAGGAUUUCCAAGGCUCCGGCUGAGUGCCUGGCUGGGGGCUGUGUGUGCAGAUGCCACAAGAUGGACAAGACUGAGGACGCAGAUGAGGAAACUGAAGCAACUGUUCAAGAAGAGGAUAUAAAAAGGGACAGGCAUUGAUGAUGAUAUCAGAGCUUCUUCCUGGGGAAUCUCAGCCUCACAUGAUGGAGUAUGACUAAAGGAAAAAAAUAAGGCUCUUCACAUACUUUCUUGGCAGUCUGUGAGGGUCAGGGUUGAUUUUGUGUCCCUAAAAUGUCACAUGAAGUUCAUAGGCACUUCCAAAGGGGCAGUCUAGCAAGUUAAAGAGUAGAUGUGGGGCUGUGUGGAGUCCAUUGUUUGGGUAAUCUUUUUCAAACAGUAGGAAUAUACCAGCUUGUAAAGAUUUGCCCACUUAGCUUCAAGUCUCUCUGAACACAUUUCCCCCCGCUCUAUGAAUAGAUGAAGACAUACAAAUGGAACUCUUGAUAUUCUUAAGUGAAAAACAUGAUAUGGAAUAGCAGAUAAAUACAAACAAUUUCUUAUCCAGCAAAGAGCUCCAGAAAUAUUUUGACUUCAUUUAAAACAGUUAUAUAAAUAUUUGCUGGUGGAAUUUUUUUCUAAACCAAAUACCCUGAAGGAUUUUAGUUGUCUAUCUACAACUUUUUGCUUGUGGAAAAUGUUGACUUCCUGGUUACUUUGACUUGUGUUCACCUGAAAUUUUGCUUUUGCAGUAGUUUUUCUUAUGAUUUAGUGGCAUUGCCUGUCCAGUGACAGGAAGUGGUGUUCUUAUUGGGACUAAUAUGUGUUAUGGCCCUAGAACCAGCAGAAGCCACUCCUGCUUUUUUCCACACUCUUCUUUCUAUAGAAGAGAAGGGAAUGAGGAUCCCACAUGGCAUUCACUGCCUUGAGCAUACUGAGAUUUCUUUGCAAAAGGAGAAACAGCACCAGCAACUAAGCAUUUUAUCCCAUUUUAUUUUACUUCUUCUAUGAUUCUUUGCCACUUAGCAAUGCCAAUUAAUUGAUUUGGGACUGGAAAUACAUUUCUUAUACAAUCUUCAAGUUUUCUUUCAUAAGAACAUAACUUUCAUCUGAUAUUGUUCCCCACUUCUCUCUUUUCAAAUGUAAUAUUUGGGCCAGUCCUUGAAAGUGAACUGAGUUGAGUUCUCAUGGCCCAUAAAAGAACAUAUUCAAAAUGUAUCAUUUUCUUUAUGUCACAGAUAAAAGAUCAUUAAUUGUAUAUAAAAUUUCCAUAUAAUUUUUAAAAUUUUUAUUUUGCAAUAAUUUAUUUUAGAUUUACAUUAAAGUUGCAAGGAAGGUACAAA
rnacentral:lncRNA from 1 species